UCAAGCGAACAGAAGGGAGCUUGCUCCCGGAUGUUAGCGGCGGACGGGUGAGUAACACGUGGGUAACCUGCCUGUAAGACUGGGAUAACUCCGGGAAACCGGAGCUAAUACCGGAUAGUUCCUUGAACCGCAUGGUUCAAGGAUGAAAGACGGUUUCGGCUGUCACUUACAGAUGGACCCGCGGCGCAUUAGCUAGUUGGUGGGGUAAUGGCUCACCAAGGCGACGAUGCGUAGCCGACCUGAGAGGGUGAUCGGCCACACUGGGACUGAGACACGGCCCAGACUCCUACGGGAGGCAGCAGUAGGGAAUCUUCCGCAAUGGACGAAAGUCUGACGGAGCAACGCCGCGUGAGUGAUGAAGGUUUUCGGAUCGUAAAGCUCUGUUGUUAGGGAAGAACAAGUGCGAGAGUAACUGCUCGCACCUUGACGGUACCUAACCAGAAAGCCACGGCUAACUACGUGCCAGCAGCCGCGGUAAUACGUAGGUGGCAAGCGUUGUCCGGAAUUAUUGGGCGUAAAGGGCUCGCAGGCGGUUUCUUAAGUCUGAUGUGAAAGCCCCCGGCUCAACCGGGGAGGGUCAUUGGAAACUGGGAAACUUGAGUGCAGAAGAGGAGAGUGGAAUUCCACGUGUAGCGGUGAAAUGCGUAGAGAUGUGGAGGAACACCAGUGGCGAAGGCGACUCUCUGGUCUGUAACUGACGCUGAGGAGCGAAAGCGUGAGAAGCGAACAGGAUUAGAUACCCUGGUAGUCCACGCCGUAACGAUGAGUGCUAAGUGUUAAGGGGGUAUCCGCCUCUUAAUGCGUGCAGCUAACUGAUUAAGCACUCCGCCUGAGCAGUACGGGUCGCAGGACUGAAGACUUCAAAGAAGUGA
rnacentral:rRNA from 1 species